rnacentral:rRNA from 1 species
UACGUAGGUGGCAAGCGUUGUCCGGAUUUACUGGGCGUAAAGGAUGUGUAGGCGGAUAUUUAAGUGAGAUGUGAAAUCCCCGGGCUUAACUUGGGGGCUGCAUUUCAAACUGGAUGUCUAGAGUGCAGGAGAGGAAAGCAGAAUUCCUAGUGUAGCGGUGAAAUGCGUAGAGAUUAGGAAGAAUACCGGUGGCGAAGGCGGCUUUCUGGACUGUAACUGACGCUGAGGCAUGAAAGCGUGGGGAGCAAAC